AGUGGGUUCAGGACUAUCUGUAAAGUAAUAUCAUUCCUGCAUAUUCCUAUUCAUUUAUGAUUCUUGAGCAGGGACAAGGGGGAAAAUGUGCAGUUAAAGCACAAGACAUUCCAUAAUCCAGAUGAAACUAGCACCUUUAGGUAUCCUUCAGGAUGAGAACGGCCCCGGGCCAGGAAUUGAACAUUCUCUUUACAUGUGGCUACUCUAAGCUCAGGCUGGAGCCAAGGGGGAGGAUGACUAUACUGCCCCUGAAGUUGAUGUUUGUCUUUGGAAAGAAGUGGGCAACUUUUUCGAAGAAAAUCACCUUGAGUCUUGAUGGACUUUUCGGAUUGAGGAAGGUGAUUUGCUUUGCUUAGUGAUCAAAGAACUCUACAUACUAUGUGGGAAGUAAUAUUAGUGAAAGCAGCUCUGAUUGUCUCUGUGAUCAUUUUCAGUCAUGGUGGCAAUAACCACCAUUUACUUACUGUGUGCUGGGCACUAUUUUAAGUAGUAUUUCAUUAUGCCCUCAUGACACCCCUACGAGGUAGCAGAUACACACCACUGUCAUCCCCUUUUGCAGACAAGGAAACUGGCUUGAAGAGAUCCUGGCGGUUUGCCCAUGGCUAGCCAACGAUGCUGGCAAACGUGGCCUCUCCAGCUCUGGUUCUGACACCCUUGGUCGCUAGACUACUUUGCUACGGAAGGACUUGGACAGAAGUGCCCGGCAAUGUGCUAAUCACCUUAUUGAUAUCAAUCACCUCUUGAAUUUUCACAGAAAUAAUCCUGAUGUCUCCGUGUGAGUUCUGCGUGCGGUUCUGUAGGCGAGGAAACGGGCUCGGGUGGGUUACGUGCUUUGUGCAGGGUCACUCAGCUAUUCACGUUCCAGAGCAAAGCCACUGAGCGAGAAAGUUUGGAGCCCAUCGGGAGAAGGAUGAAGACCUAAGGAUGAAGCCCAGACCUAACCUCACCCUCACUCCCUCUUCGCAGAACAAAAGAACCUUUAAAAGAUGUGGAGAACGAGGCUGCCUUUGCAGGAGUCCCAGGAGGCUUCAGCGGAAAGGGAAAACUUCCUUGUAUUGAGAUUACUUUGAAACCUUCAUUUCUAGGCCAGUUUUUUUUUUUUUUCUUUUCUUUCUUUCUUCUUCUUUUUUUUUUUUUAUUUAUUAUUUGAGAAUUCCAGGCCUGAUUAGAUCAUGCUCUGGACUCAAGUCAGCCAGGGGCCAUGGUUUCAAUCACUGUGAUCCUGAUGACCUUACAAGAACAUCUUAAAAGGAUAAAUCUAUUUGUUUUACACUGAGAUAAUGGAAAAUAAAGCAACCCCUGCUCCUCUCCAGGAG
rnacentral:lncRNA from 1 species